rnacentral:tRNA from 1 species
UUCUCGGUAGUAUAGUGGUAAAUAUCCCUGCCUGUCGCGCAGGAGACUGGGGUUCGAUUCCCCACCGGGGAG